CCUAGUUUAAAUAAUAGGGAGUUUAAGCUUCGCGUUUCCGAAUAAGGGCAAACGGCAGGCAAAAUUUUCGUUGAACGUUUUCGUUUCAUAUCUUCUUUCUUGUGUCGAAAGAAUAAUUAUGCAUUGCAGUUCUAAAACAGCGAGUUCAUUUACUCUUUAUUGUCUGAUAUAGUGACUUUUUUUGCCUGCCGUUUGACGUAUAAAUGCGAAGCUUAAACUCUCUAGUGUUGGUUCAAACCAUGAUUACUGGACCACAAACCAAAAUUGUAAACAGGGGGGGGGGGGUAAUUUGGGAAAUUUUCUAUACG